rnacentral:rRNA from 1 species
UGAGCAACCUGCCCCUGGCUCUGGGAUAACUCCGGGAAACCGGAGCUAAUACCGGAUACGAGACCGAUUGGCAUCUUUACGGUCUGGAAAGUUUUUCGGCCAGGGAUGGGCUCGCGGCCUAUCAGCUUGUUGGUGGGGUGAUGGCCUACCAAGGCGACGACGGGUAGCCGGCCUGAGAGGGCGACCGGCCACACUGGGACUGAGACACGGCCCAGACUCCUACGGGAGGCA